rnacentral:lncRNA from 10 species
CCCAGGGCAAGUACUGCUAGAGGGCUGCCUAUGAUCAGAUCUUCUGAGAACAUCAGAGAAAGACUGUCCUUGCAAUCUACACUACAGCAAGACUUCAGGACCUUGAACUUCAGGUUCAUAAUCUCACAACUGAGAAGGAUCCUUCCACACUCUUGGAACAGUGCACCCAUUGGAACUCUGAAGGUUAAGCUCACCAGGAAAGUUUCUCUCCAGAAGAAGAUAACACCCUUAAUGUGAACAGCUUUUCCCAAAAUCACGGAUUGAAACUUCUCUACACUCACGAGACUCUUAUCUUUGAAUAUUUUCCCUUGGUUAUGCUUCUGUGAACAAUAGACGUGAAAAGGGAGUCUGUUGUGUGCACUUAUGGGGCACACUUUUAUGUGUGAAGGAUUUUUCAGCCAGCCUUAUAUAUGGAUGACCUUAUAGUUUAAGAGAUAAAAGACAAAGACCCAAUGCAGCCAAAGAUGGGGUCAGAUAG